CCUACGGGUGGCAGCAGUGAGGAAUAUUGGUCAAUGGGCUUACGCCUGAACCAGCCAAGUCGCGUGAGGGAAGACUGCCCUAUGGGUUGUAAACCUCUUUUGUCAGGGAGCAACGCCGGCUACGUGUAGCCGGACUGAGAGUACCUGAAGAAAAAGCAUCGGCUAACUCCGUGCCAGCAGCCGCGGUAAUACGGAGGAUGCGAGCGUUAUCCGGAUGUAUUGGGUUUAAAGGGUGCGUAGGCGGAAUGCCAAGUCGGCGGUAAAACCGCGGGCCUCAACCUCGCUCCGCCGUUGACACUGGCGUUGUUGAGUGGGCGAGAAGUAUGCGGAAUGCGGGGUGUAGCGGUGAAAUGCAUAGAUAUCACGCAAACUCCGAUUGCGAAGGCAGCAUACCGGCGCCCAACUGACGCUGAAGCACGAAAGCGUGGGUAUCGAACAGGAUUAGAUACCCCAGUAGUC
rnacentral:rRNA from 1 species